UAAUAAGUGUUUUAUGGCACUUUUUAAAUCCAUAUCCACCUUGUGUGCAAUGUCAGUCGAUCUUCUUCAUGGAGAUCGACCAAACAUCAACCUUUAUUUUUUAACUCUUUGUCUGAAAAAAUAUUAUGAAUAAAACAAUUCAAAAUA
rnacentral:misc_RNA from 1 species